UGCUGUGAUGGUGUAAUUUGCGUCUGACUCUGUGGUCAGUGACGGUAUGCCUGCUGUCAUAUGCUGGCACAGACGACUGGUGAACAUUGAGUCUGAGCA
ensembl:snoRNA SNORD16 Small nucleolar RNA SNORD16